AUGAACAGAGAUCAUUCUGUCAUUUUUGAGACUGCAUCCAAGUGUUGCAUUUCAGACUCUUUUGUUGACCAUGAUGGCUACUCCAUUUCUUCUAAGGGAUUCCUGCUAACAGUAGUAGAUAUGCUCAAAAUUCUCCAAGCCAGGCUUCAGCAAUACAUGAACCGUGAACUUCCAGAUGUUCCAGAUGGUUUUAGAAAAGGCAGAGGAAACAGAGAUCAAAUUGCCAGCAUCCACUGGAUCAUCGAAAAAGCAAGAGAGUUCCAUUUCUACUUUAUUGACUAUGCCAAAGCCUUUGACUGUGUGGAUCACAAUACACUGUGGACAAUUCUUCAAGAGAUGGGAAUACCAGACCACCUCACCUGCCUCUUGAGAAACCUGUAUGCAGGUCAGGAAGCAACAGUUAGAACUGGACAUGGAACAACAGAUUGGUUCCAAAUAGGAAAAGGAGUACAUCAAGGCUGUAUAUUGUCACCUUGCUUAUUUAACUUCUAUGCAGAGUACAUCAUGAGAAACACUGGGCUGGAAGAAGCACAAGCUGGAAUCAAGAUUGCUGGGAGAAAUAUCAAUCACCUCAGAUAUGCAGAUGACACCACCCUUAUGGCAGAAAGUGAAGAGAAACUAAAAAGCCUCUUGAUGAAAGUGAUGAAAGUGAAAGAGGAGAGUGAAAAAGUUGGCUUAAAGCUCAGCAUUCAGAAAACGAAGAUCAUAGCAUCUGGUCCCAUCACUUCAUGGGAUAUAGAUGGGGAAACAGUGGAAACAGUGGCAGACUUCAGUUUUUGGGGCUCCCAAAUCACUGCAGAUGGUGAUUGCAGACAUGAAAUUAAAAGAUGUUUACUCCUUGGAAGGAAAGUUAUGACCAACCUAGAUAGCAUAUUCAAAAGCAGAGACAUUACUUUGCUGACUAAGAUCCGUCUAGUCAAGGCUAUGGUUUUUCCAGUGGUCGUAUAUGGAUGUGAGAUUUGGACUGUGAAGAAAGCUGAGCACCGAGGAAUCGAUGCUUUUGAAGUGUGGUGUUGGAGAAGACUCUUGAGAGUCCCUUGGACUGCAAGGAGAUCCAACCAGUCCAUCCUAAAGGAGAUCAGUCCUGGGUGUUCAUUGGAAGGACGGAUGCUGAAGCUAAAACUCCAGUACUUUAGCCACCUCAUGUGA
rnacentral:lncRNA from 1 species